rnacentral:rRNA from 1 species
GGCCCUUAUAGGUGGGGCUACACACGUCAUACAAUGGCCGGUACAGAGGGUAGCCAACCCGCGAGGGGAGCCAAUCCCACAAAGCCGGUCGUAGUCCGGAUCGCAGUCUGCAACUCGACUGCGUGAAGUCGGAAUCGCUAGUAAUCGCGGAUCAGCAUGUCGCGGUGAAUACGUUCCCGGGUCUU